CGUCCUGCCCAGCCAUUGGCUAAGGCUGAGUCAUUUCCUUUAGUUACAUAUGAGUUUUGGCUCAGGUUGGGAGGAGGAGAAAGGAACCAUCAUUUUUCCUCCUCAAGUUCAGGUCCAGAGGCUCCUCCUUGGCUGAUUCAGGCAGUCACAGUUUGUCAAAUUCUUAGUCUAUGUCACCUCAUCCUCCUGCUAGUGCCAAACUGGGCACAAAAAGCAGAGGCUUUUAGAGAAGCAGAAGUCAGAUUCUAAAAGGAGCAGGUGUCUUCCCCAAGGCCCAACCAAUGAGGGUUUGACAGAAGCUGUCCAAUCCAUCGUAUUGCUGUAUCCCUGCCUCCCAGUUCUGAGGACUAGUAGAAGCACUCCAGACAUUCCAGUUCCCUCAAUCCUCACCACCGCCAUAUCAAUUAAGGGCUCUUAUGAUCUCCUUACCAUGGAUGAGGAAAGGAAACUGAGGCACUGGUUCCAAGACUAGCUUGAGAAAGCACAUUCAGGCAAAAGGGGGAACACCUAUGCAACGGCAUGCAUGGGAAGGCCAGACGACCACACGACUUCACAGACCCAGAUCAUGCCGGCUAGGAAGAAAGUGCCGUUCCCGGCUGAGCCAUCUCACUAGCUCCAGAUUUUCCUCUUGCAGAUGUUGAAAUGUUUUGCGAUAGAUUAUUAGAUGUUUGGUAUGCAUUAUCCUGUCUCUAGAAUUUUGUCUUUAAGUUUCCAAAUGCCGAAAAGUGGAAUCAAAAGGAAAGAGCAAACAGCAAAGACCAUUUAAUGAAAACGUCUUAGAGUCUACUCCUAUAGGUUUGGUGUCUUGGGGUAAUUUAUUAACUCUCCUUUGCAUAGGCCAGACUGAUCAUGUCCACUGGCUGCCAGAGCAGAAAAGUGUUUCAGAUGGCAUGAUACCCGUCAUCCUCUGGACUGCCUUACAGGGGCCUCCAUAAACCUUUCUUUCCUUCUGGUAGAGGUGUCAUUCACAAAGGCUGGAAGGAAAUGGAGCUAUGGGGAGGCGGGGAGAGGACACUCCAAG
rnacentral:lncRNA from 1 species